rnacentral:lncRNA from 1 species
GGCAUUAAUCACAGAUUCACACCUGCUUUUCCUCCUCCCCAGAGCCAGCUGCUUUAGACUGGCUCCGGCUGGGCUUGCCAGACCAUCUGAAGGAGCCAGCAAGGCCAGGCGAGAGAGGCUGGGUGGGGCUGUCUCAGCAGCCCAGCUCAUGGUGGAGAGAUGAGUCAACUGGCUAGGGUCACUGUGUCUCCGUGCCGGGGCCAGAGCCAGGGACAGAGUAUUUCUGGAAGACCUGGCUCCCCAUCUCACACUAUUUACUCAGUGAGGUCAUUAUAAACAGAGGAAACAGGCUCAGAGCAGACACAGAGCUUGAUGAAGUUACAUAGCCACGAAGUGACGGGGUCUGACCAUCAAACCAGAGCCUGCAGUCCUAACCACCACACUGCACUCUCCCUCUGGCUUAGUUUCCAAGAUGGACAAGAUACAGCCCUGGCGGUCCAAGGGCACAGAGCAUCAGAAGGACACAGAGUGUUUCAAGAUGCCUGUUGCAGCUCCGGCCGUUGUGUCCACAUUCCAGCCAGCAAGAAGGAGGAAGUUGGUAAAGCAAAAGGAUUUUUCUUCAGUUGUCUUUUCUCCCUUUCCAAGAAUCUUCCCAGAAGUCCUUCCCUCCCCCAGGGCACCCCUGAGGCACCCCCGGAGUUCCAGGGAGCACAGUUUGAAAGCACAGUAUUACAGGAGUGCGCGCCAUAAGCAGAAUGAAAAACGCUUUCUAAAAUCUACCUGCCCCCAACCAAACCUGGAUUGGAAGCUUCUUGAGGGCCAGCAGCACCUGGCGCCUGCUGAAAACACAAGUGUCUGUGAAGUGGAUGGAGGAGUGAAGCCUUUGUUUUCAUUUCCGAGGUCUGGCUCAGCUUCUCAGUCCCGGGACGCCCUCGCUGCAGUCCUUCAUGACCCUGUAAGGCAGGCGACAGUCUCCGGCUGCUCCCGGAUGGCGAGUUUGCGCUUUCCUUGCCUUUGUAUCAGAAUGAUUUGUGGCUUCUCAGGUGGAACGGCUGGUGAUAUAAUUAACAUUUCAAAACUUCGCAACCACAAAUUGAAUUUGUUUUGAAUAUUUGGGGAUGUUUAAACAGUAGCUUGAGUGUUAAAUUUGCACUUUAUGGGAG